rnacentral:tRNA from 1 species
CAAAGUGUAGCUUAAAUAAAGCAUCUGGCUUACACCCAGAAGAUCUCAUGUAAAAUGACCACUUUGA